rnacentral:rRNA from 1 species
ACGGAGGAUGCGAGCGUUAUCCGGAUUUAUUGGGUUUAAAGGGUGCGUAGGUGGACUGUUUAGUCAGUGGUGAAAUGCUGAUGCUCAACGUUAGCAUUGCCGUUGAAACUGACAGUCUUGAGAGUGGUUGAGGCAGGCGGAAUGUGUGGUGUAGCGGUGAAAUGCGUAGAUAUCAGGAAGAACACCGAUGGCGAAGGCAGUUGGCUAAGCCACAACUGACACUGAGGCGCGAAAGCGUGGGGAUCAAACAG